ensembl:ncRNA D1044.10 ncRNA
UGCAACACAAAAAGCUGUUCGCAUUUGCUUACUUCCGCUUGAAAUCUCACCGAAAUGUUGCUGUGAUAUUCGGCAGACAUCUGGAAAAAAGUCGAAAUUCUUCACAGCGGCGGCAAAACUACAGUAACCUAUGAUUAUACAGAGAGACAUCCCCCUACUACGGCACGUUUACUUUCCGCGUUACAGCAUCACGUACC